rnacentral:rRNA from 1 species
UACGGGGGGUGCAAGCGUUGUUCGGAAUUACUGGGCGUAAAGGGCGCGUAGGCGGUUUGUUAAGUUGGAUGUGAAAACUCUGGGCUUAACCCAGAGCCUGCAUCCAAAACUGGCAGGCUAGAGUUUUGGAGGGGGAAGCGGAAUUCCUGGUGUAGCAGUGAAAUGCGUAGAUAUCAGGAGGAACACCGGUGGCGAAGGCGGCUUCCUGGACAAAAACUGACGCUGAGGCGCGAAAGCUAGGGGAGCAAACAGG